rnacentral:lncRNA from 1 species
UCUUCAACUCAUCAGGCGCCAGGCGCUAAGCAGAACAGAUUCCUUGAAGCUAGCGGCCUGGCGGCGGCGCGGCGUAGAUAAAAGAGAAAAAAGGGUUGAAUUCCGAGAAGAGAUAAAUUGUUCUUCUUCACUCACAAUCAGCUGAGCGCUGAUGGCGCUGACCGGCUUACCUGCAUGACGUCAUGAUUCAACAACGUCAACAACUUUCCAUCGUCCAUCGUAAACUAAUCGUAAAUAUAACCUCACUUUCCGGAAUCCGGACACCGGACUGCAGGAUCAGUAUUUUUUAUGAGUCCUCUUUUUUAUUUUUAGUUUCUCCAAAACCUGUGUUCCUAAAGAAAAUAAUCGAGAGACCUCUUUAAUGCAUACGCCUUUGAAGUAUCAUAAUGGUCUUUUUUUCAAUAUGUGUUCAUCAUGAGAACUACGCUCUCUCUUUCUCCAAUCUUACGUUCUUUCAUGCUCGGGCCCUUGAAUAAUCUAUAAUUUAAAUGUGGCAUUCGUUCAAGAUUAUCGGAUUGAUUGCGCUAGGUAGAGGAAAUUUCCUGUGAAGCAGUGAAUCUUGAGGUCCAAACUUGUUUCUUCUACAAUCAAUUCUUCUGAAACUGCCGGCACUCUUCCACCCAUCACGUAACCUAGACAGAGAAUAGAAUAUUGCACAGCAUGUCGAGGAAAGGAGGUUCAAGUAUCGACUGCCUCCAGGACGAAGGAUUUUCUGUCAGGAAAAAAAAAGAUGCACCUAAAGCUAAAGCUAGACCACCUCCCAAAGGCACUAUCAAAAAUGCUCCAAAAGCUAAAACACCUGCCAAAGUCACACCCGCCAAAGUCACACCUGCCAAAGUUGUUGUCAAACAACCUGUCUUGGAUGAAUGGGGCUGCGAACCUCAAGAGCCACCAACAAAAUUGAAAUGUGAAAUGACCAAUUUAGACCUUUCGAAGGACUCAGUUGACUUGAUCUUGAACACACUGAAGAGAGCAAGAGGGCAGGAAUUUGCCGUGCCUGACGCCUCAUCUUAUAAAGACAAAGGGAAGAACCUGAACAAUCAGUAUUGGGUGGAUAGAGGAGAGCUCGUUAUCAAGGGCCUCAUAAAUUACGCAGACCCAAAUCGAAAGAAAACCACGCCCGAUCAACAAGUCCAUGCAUUUGCCGUAGCAAACUGCACAAAUAUGGAUUCCAUGAGAAGCAUUGUUCUGAAGCAUUGA